GUGACCAUUUCUUAGGGAUUACCGGGGUC
rnacentral:piRNA from 1 species